CCUACGGGAGGCAGCAGUGGGGAAUAUUGGGCAAUGGGCGCAAGCCUGACCCAGCAACGCCGCGUGAAGGAAGACGGCUUUCGGGUUGUAAACUUCUUUUGUCAGGGACGAAGAAAGUGACGGUACCUGACGCAUAAGCCACGGCUAACUACGUGCCAGCAGCCGCGGUAAUACGUAGGUGGCAAGCGUUAUACGGCUUGACUGGGUGUAAAGGGCGUGUAGGCGGGACUGCAAGUCAGAUGUGAAAACCACGGGCUCAACCUGUGGCCUGCAUUUGAAACUGUAGUUCUUGAGUACUGGAGAGGCAGACGGAAUUCCUAGUGUAGCGGUGAAAUGCGUAGAUAUUAGGAGGAACACCAGUGGCGAAGGCGGUCUGCUGGACAGCAACUGACGCUGAGGCGCGAAAGCGUGGGGAGCAAACAGGAUUAGAUACCCCGGUAGUC
rnacentral:rRNA from 1 species